rnacentral:rRNA from 1 species
UAACACGUGGGGAACCUGCCCCAUAGUCUGGGAUACCACUUGGAAACAGGUGCUAAUACCGGAUAAGAAAGCGGAUCGCAUGAUCAGCUUUUAAAAGGCGGCGUAAGCUGUCGCUAUGGGAUGGCCCCGCGGUGCAUUAGCUAGUUGGUAAGGUAAAGGCUUACCAAGGCGAUGAUGCAUAGCCGAGUUUAGAGACUGAUCGGCCACAUUGGGACUGAGACACGGCCCAAACUCCUACGGGAGGCAGCAGCC